AGGCCUGGGCUGUGCCCAGGUUAAUUUUGGUUGCUCAAUUACUCAAGUUGUCAAAUUACUCAACUCCUGGACUCUUGUAUCACUACCAAGCCUCUUAACAAAGUUAUCUAGCCCCCUGAUUAUGAUCUCAGCAGUUUCCAGUGCUUUAAGGAGCCAUGAGAAGUCGUCAGAAGUACCAGUAUGCUUGAAACUAUCUUGACCACACUCGUAAUUCAUGAAAAUGAAGGAAAAUGCCGUUUUAUUAAUGUAAAAAGGGAUGUGGCCAAAAAUUGUGGCACACUUUGCGUGCCCCUCUAAUUCCCAGCCCAUGCAACAUUUCAAGUCUGCAACCGCCUAUGACUGUAGGGUGACUAGGGUCAUCUGAAUAUUAAAGUUAAAUAACCUAAUUUUAUGAUGAUUGCAUGAAUAUGGGGCAGAGCUCCUUGAUGUUUUACAUUCUUCUAGUAUUUUUAAUUAUAAUGUAGUGUCUUACAGUAUGUUUGUCAUAAAGAAUCAUUGACUAUACCAGAUACACUAGCCAAGAGGAUUGCAGAGAGGUCAGAGAGAAACCUUCGUAAAGCUAUACUGCUUUGUGAGGCGUGUCGUGUUCAGCAGUAUCCCUUCAAUGAUGAUCAGGUUGUCCCUGAUUGUGAGUAGGAGGUUUUCUUACGUGAAACAGCUGCAAUGAUCAUCACAGAGCAGAGCCCUAAGAGUAAGAGGACGUUAUU